rnacentral:rRNA from 1 species
GAUGAACGCUGUAAGGAUGCUUAACACAUGCAAGUCCACGUGUGGCGGACGGGUGAGUAACGCGUAAAGAACUUGCCUCACAGUUAGGGACAACAUUUGGAAACGAAUGCUAAUACCUGAUACUGUGAGAGAGCUUUGCGUCCCAUUAGCUAGUUGGAGAGGUAACGGCUCACCAAGGCGAUGAUGGGUAGCCGGCCUGAGAGGGUGAUCGGCCACAAGGGGACUGGGACACGGCCCUUGCGCCUACGGGAGGCAGCGGUGGGGAAUAUUUGACAAAGUACCAAAGUCUGCUCCAGCGGUACUGUUUUCACGAUGAAGUUUUCGGUAAGUGAAGUGCUGUCAGUUGAAAAGCGGUGCCAACGGAAGAAGUGACGGCUAAAUACGGGCCAGCAGCCGCGGUAAUUC